rnacentral:rRNA from 1 species
UACGUAGGGGGCUAGCGUUGUCCGGAUUUAUUGGGCGUAAAGAGCGUGUAGGCGGCCAGGUAGGUCUGCUGUGAAAACUCGAGGCUCAACCUCGAGACGUCGGCGGAAACCAUCUGGCUAGAGUCCGGAAGAGGAGAGUGGAAUUCCCGGUGUAGAGGUGAAAUUCGUAGAUAUCGGGAGGAACACCAGUGGCGAAGGCGGAGACCUGGGCCAAUACUGACGCUGAGGUGCGAAAGCGUGGGGAGCAAACAGG